UACGGGGGGAGCAAGCGUUGUUCGGAUUUACUGGGCGUAAAGGGCGCGUAGGCGGCGGUGACAAGUCACUUGUGAAAUCUCCGGGCUUAACUCGGAACGGUCAAGUGAUACUGUCGUGCUAGAGUACAGAAGGGGCAACUGGAAUUCUCGGUGUAGCGGUGAAAUGCGUAGAUAUCGAGAGGAACACCUGCGGCGAAGGCGGGUUGCUGGGCUGAUACUGACGUGAGGCGCGAAAGCCAGGGAGCAAACGGG
rnacentral:rRNA from 1 species